rnacentral:rRNA from 1 species
UACGGAGGGUGCGAGCGUUGUCCGGAAUCACUGGGCGUAAAGGGCGCGUAGGCGGCGCGAGCAGUCGAUCGUGAAAGUCCGGAGCUCAACUCCGGAUCGGCGGUCGAUACUCUCGUGCUUGAGCACUGUAGAGGCAGAUGGAAUUCCGGGUGUAGCGGUGGAAUGCGUAGAGAUCCGGAAGAACACCGGUGGCGAAGGCGGUCUGCUGGGCAGUUGCUGACGCUGAGGCGCGACAGCGUGUGGAGCAAACAGG